rnacentral:rRNA from 1 species
GACGAACGCGGCGGCGUGCCUAAUACAUGCAAGUAGAACGCUGAAGGGAGAGCUUGCUCUUCUGGAUGAGUUGCGAACGGGUGAGUAACGCGUAGGUAACCUGCCUGGUAGCGGGGGAUAACUAUUGGAAACGAUAGCUAAUACCGCAUAACAUUGACUAUUGCAUGAUAGUUAAUUGAAAGGUGCAAAUGCACCACUACCAGAUGGACCUGCGUUGUAUUAGCUAGUUGGUGGGGUAACGGCUCACCAAGGCGACGAUACAUAGCCGACCUGAGAGGGUGAUCGGCCACACUGGGACUGAGACACGGCCCAGACUCCUACGGGAGGCAGCAGUAGGGAAUCUUCGGCAAUGGACGGAAGUCUGACCGAGCAACGCCGCGUGAGUGAAGAAGGUUUUCGGAUCGUAAAGCUCUGUUGUAAGAGAAGAAACGAGUGUGAGAAGUGGAAAGUUUCAACAACU